rnacentral:rRNA from 1 species
UACGGGGGGGGCAAGCGUUAUCCGGAUUCACUGGGUUUAAAGGGUGCGUAGGCGGGCAGGUAAGUCCGUGGUGAAAUCUCUGAGCUUAACUCAGAAACUGCCAUGGAUACUAUUUGUCUUGAAUAUUGUGGAGGUAAGCGGAAUAUGUCAUGUAGCGGUGAAAUGCUUAGAUAUGACAUAGAACACCAAUUGCGAAGGCAGCUUACUACACAGUUAUUGACGCUGAGGCACGAAAGCGUGGGGAGCAAACAGG